GACGAACGCUGGCGGCGUGCUUAACACAUGCAAGUCGAACGGAAAGGCCCUGCUUUUGUGGGGUGCUCGAGUGGCGAACGGGUGAGUAACACGUGAGUAACCUGCCCUUGACUUUGGGAUAACUUCAGGAAACUGGGGCUAAUACCGGAUAGGAGCUCCUGCUGCACGGGGGGGGUUGGAAAGUUUCGGCGGUUGGGGAUGGACUCGCGGCUUAUCAGCUUGUUGGUGGGGUAGUGGCUUACCAAGGCUUUGACGGGUAGCCGGCCUGAGAGGGUGACCGGCCACCUUGGGACUGAGAUACGGCCCAGACUCCUACGGGAGGCAGCAGUGCGGAAUAUUGCACGAUGGGCGGCAGCCUGAUGCAGCAGCGCCGCGUGCGGGAUGACGGCCUUCGGGUUGUAAACCGCUUUCGCCUGUGACGAAGCGUGAGUGACGGUAAUGGGUAAAGAAGCACCGGCUAACUACGUG
rnacentral:rRNA from 1 species